ACAGGUGACUGCUGCCCGGUGAGAAGGUGAGCCUGACAUAUAACUCCGUCAGCUACAAUAAAGGAACCACGAGACAGGUGACUGAUGCCGAGUGAGAAGGUAUACCUGACACAUGCCCCCAUCAGCUGCAAUAAAGGAACCACGAGACAGGUGACUGAUGCCAAGUGAGAAGGUAUACAUGACACGUACCCCCGUCAGCUGCAAUAAAGGAACCACGAGA